AUGUGAAAGCAUGCGACUCUUCGGAGGCGUUACACAGGUGCUGCAUGGCCGUCGUCAGCUCGUGUCGUGAGAUGUUUGGUUAAGUCCAGCAACGAGCGCAACCCCUGUUGCCAGUUACCAGCACGUGAAGGUGGGGACUCUGGCGAGACUGCCCAGAUCAACUGGGAGGAAGGUGGGGACGACGUCAGGUCAGUAUGGCCCUUAUGCCCAGGGCUGCACACGUACUACAAUGCCCAGUACAGAGGGGGCCGAAGCCGCGAGGCGGAGGAAAUCCUAAAAACUGGGCCCAGUUCGGACUGUAGGCUGCAACCCGCCUACACGAAGCCGGAAUCGCUAGUAAUGGCGCAUCAGCUACGGCGCCGUGAAUACGUUCCCGGGUCUUGUACACACCGCCCGUCACAUCAUGGAAGCCGGUCGCACCCGAAGUAUCUGAAGCCAACCGCAAGGAGGCAGGGUCCUAAGGUGAGACUGGUAACUGGGAUGAAGUCGUAACAAGGUAGCCGUAGGGGAACCUGCGGCUGGAUCACCUCCUU
rnacentral:rRNA from 1 species